rnacentral:rRNA from 1 species
GGAGUUUGGGCCGUGUCUCAGUCCCAAUGUGGCCGUACACCCUCUCAGGCCGGCUACUGAUCGUCGCCUUGGUGGGCCGUUACCUCACCAACUAGCUAAUCAGACGCGGGUCCAUCCUAUACCACCGGAGUUUUUCACACUGCAACAUGCGAUGCUGUGUGCUUAUGCGGUAUUAUCAGUCGUUUCCAACUGCUAUCCCCCAGUAUAGGGCAGGUUACCCACGCGUUACUCACCCGUCCGCCACUAAGUGAUUCAAUUGAGUCAUUCUGAAGCAAGCUUCAUCACUUCUCGGGAGAACCACUCCGUUCGACUUGCAUGUGUUAAGCACGCCGCCAGCGUUUAUC